CGGAAAAGCAAAAACUUAGGAGUAUAAGAGCUUGGAUUACAACUCUUAAGUAUAAUAAAAUUCUAUUGAUGAAGAUCACUACGGGAUUUAUUUAAACCUUACAUCCUAGACAGCAUCUUUAUGCGAAUUUCACCCCUCAUAAUGAUCGAUCAUAUCUGCAUGUCGAAAUCUCGUGAUACAUUAGAAUACCAAGACCAGGUUUUGAUCCAUAAACCCGCAUAAACAAGUUCUAGAUGCGUUCAAGUUGAUCCCAACAUUAUAAUCAUAAAAAAAUGUCAAAUAUUAUGACAUGAUAAUAAAUGUGAGCAUUAUAAGAUAUAGUACUAUAUAUUUUGCAAGAAAUUCAAAGUAUAUGUACCUUUUUUUUAAUUUGAAAGAAG
rnacentral:lncRNA from 1 species